rnacentral:rRNA from 1 species
UUAAAUUGAUUAUUUUUUUAAAUAAAUAAAGUAAUAUUAUUUUUAUUAUAAUUUAAGAAAAAAUUGAAAUUAUUAUAGUGAAUUAGUAUAGUGAUAGAAUUUUAUUGGUAAAUUAUAAAGAAAUAAAUUUUAUGUACCUUGGGUAUCAGGGUUUAUUAAAUAUAAUUUAAUUAUUUAAUUUUCUCGAUUUUAAAAGAGCUAAAAAAUUAUAAAUUUUAUUGUAGAAUAAAUAUUUAAAAUAAUUUUUUAGUAAUGAAACGUUAUUCGUUUUUAAUUAUAUCUAGUUAUUGAAGAAAAAAAUUUAAUUUUAAUUAUUAAUUAAUUUAAAUUUAUUUAUUGGGGGAUAAAUAAUUAAUAAUUUAUAUUUUAAGGGAUAAGCUUUAAAAUAAAUAAUUAAAAUUUAUAAAGGAGAAUAAAAUUGUAGAAUUAGAAAUUUUCAUCAAUUAAUUUGUUAUAAUUAAUUUAUUAAUAAAUUUGCUUUAUUUAAAUUUAAUUAUUUUAUUUAAUAAAAUUAGAUAAUAUUGUUUUAAUUGAUAUAAUGAUAGAAUUAGUAUAAUUUGAUGUUUAAAUAAUUAUUUACUUUAGGUUAAAUAAAGGAAUUCGGCAAAAAAUUUUUCGCCUGUUUAUUAAAAACAUGUCUUUUUGAUAAUAAUUUAAAGUCUAACCUGCCCCUUGAUUUAUUUAACGGCCGCGGUAUUUUGACCGUGCGAAGGUAGCAUAAUAAUUAGUUUUUUAAUUGAAAGCUGGAAUGAAUGGUUGAACGAGAAAAUGACUGUCUCUAUUUAAAUUUAUUAGAAUUUUAUUUUUAAGUUAAAAAGCUUAAAUGAUUUUAAAAGACGAGAAGACCCUAUAGAGUUUUAUAGAUAUAAAUUUUUAAUUAAAUUAGAAUUAUUUAAAUUUUAAAUUAAUAUUUAUUUGAUUGGGGUGAUUGAAAAAUUUAAUAAACUUUUUUUUUAUUAAAACAUUAAUUUAUGAAUGAUUGAUCCAUUAAAAUGAUUAUAAGAUUAAAUUACCUUAGGGAUAACAGCGUAAUUUCUUUAAAGAGUUCAUAUCGAAAAAGAAGAUUGCGACCUCGAUGUUGGAUUAAAAUUUACUUUAGGUGUAGAAGCUUAAAUGUUAAGUCUGUUCGACUUUUAAAAUUUUACAUGAUCUGAGUUUAAACCGGCGUGAGCCAGGUUGGUUUCUAUCUUUAAUAAAAAAAAAUAUUUUAGUACGAAAGGACCAGAUAUUA